CGGGAAGCCACAAGCGACAUCGCAGUCACAAAUGUUCGUGGUAGGAUGAAGUUUGAUUUUGUGUAGGAUGUAUGGAUAGGCUGACUGUUGGGUUAUGACAGCGAGUUCGAAACAAUAUUCAGUUGCAGACAAAGUAACGAACAAGGAAUAAUACAACUUUUUAAAACACUGCUUGAACGUCGACAGAACAAUUUAUCAUUGUACCAAAAGAAAUUCGUCAAGUGCCAGCUUUUCAUCACAGAGUGAGAUGGAAGCCUAUCAAGUCUGAAGAGCAAGUUGUUUGAAUAUUAAUCCGGAUUGAAGAUUGAAGAUGGCAAAAACUAGCUACGCUAAAAGGUUAUUUGGUAUGCUUUUUCCGUGACAUGCUGACAUGUGUGAUUAUUCAAAUUCAAAUAUUCAAA